CAGGGAGACAACAAAAUGUUUAAUAUUAUUAUUUUGUCACCUUAGGUCGAUCGGUAUCUCACGUUUUUAAUUUAUUAAGAAUUUCAUUUCCUAAGUUUUUCUAGGUCACACCCAUUAUUUUUCCUGGGCCAUUAGCUCAGGUGGUUAGAGCGCACCCCUGAUAAGGGUGAGGUCCCUGGUUCAAGUCCAGGAUGGCCCAUAUCUCUAUGUUGGGGGUAUAGCUCAGUUGGUAGAGCGCCUGCUUUGCAAGCAGGAUGUCAGCGGUUCGAGUCCGCUUACCUCCACUGAUUACCACCUCUUCCAUAACCGGUAGAAAGGAAAUGUUUUGAGUUGUGAUCAAAUUCUGAAAGAAUCUAGCUUCCUAAUGAAAUCAUUAAGAUGCUGGACUCAUUGAAUUAAUUUCAUUGUUUUCAGAGAACCUUGACAACUGCAUAGAUUAUUUUUAAAGACAACAAGCAUCUUUAAUGAUGCAGAUUUAUUAUUUGUGCGAAUGCAUUAAUAACAAUUCUAUUAAGCUGAUGCUUCAAUUUUUGAAGUUAUU
rnacentral:tRNA from 1 species